UAAAAACACAACAAAAAAGAGAGAGAGAUUGGCUUAGCCUUGCUGACGUGAUGCUGAAAACUGACAUGGAGCAAUGCUCAGCGUGCACGGCAGUGAGAAAGCGCAGAUGAAGACAUCGUUCUUAAAUCUGGGGCUGUCUGGAAAAUGAUUUGACAGUUGAUCUCUGAAACUCGAACCCAAUAUGGAGGUUGAGCAACCUUCCAUUUGUUUGCAUUGCCAUUUCCUAGAUAAAUCAUACAAAUGGAUUAAAUCCCAUCCCGGAAUUUGGACCUUUGAAACAGAUCCUGAACAGAAUCCCCCAUGGCUGCCGAAGUGGAUGAGCUGAUCAUUGAAGAACCAGGUGAACGUGAGGUCCAGUGAGGGAUCGUGGCUGACUUGACAAGAAAUUUCCUGGACAAAAGCGGAGGGGUGAGAGUAAUGCCAUCAGGUGGAACAACUGGGUGGUUUAAGUUUAGGGGGUCAGCUUUUUUAAAAUCAUACCAUAGCCUUUCAGUCGGAAUGAAGUCUGUACU